ensembl:lncRNA novel transcript, antisense to TANC2
AGUGUUUUUCCCAUUGCCCUUAAUGUUCUCCAGAAGGAUCCUAAGAAAGCUCCCAAUCUGGAUCUCUUAAAGGUCCUACAAAUACACAACAUAAGAAGCUAAAGAGGAAAUUCAUAAGGUCCAUUUGAAUACCUUGGAAACUACUGAAAGAAUAAAGGGGUCAGGAGGAAACCCAGACGAGUCAUGAGUGUGUUUGCUGCCUCAUCUACAGAUGGAGGGGGGCCAAGCUCCUGUUCAGCAUCACCUGUAACAAGAAGGCAUUGAAGAACAUGAAUCUUUCAAAAUAAAAUGGUCUAGUUCUGCAA